rnacentral:lncRNA from 1 species
GGUGGAGUCCGUCGCGGCGAGGAGCGCGCCGAUUCUCAGGGGACUUUGCCGCCUGCCGGAGGCGCCCUUGCUGCGGGGUCGCCCCGGGUCAUUCGGCCGCGGUCCUGCCCAGCUGGGCCGCCAGUAGUCCCCGCUUCCGGCGCGGCGGGAUGCGUGGCGCGACCGCUUAGUCCCUCGGAGGGGAGGACGCGCUGCCGUUCACCGGUGGACGGCGGGCGACUCCCCGAGCCGACGACCCCGACAGCGACGGGAGCGACGCGCGGCUUUCUGACGGAAAUAUUACAACUCCACUGAUGAGAAAACUCACUUCGCUUUCAGUCAAAACCAGAAAUUAGAUAACAGAAAUGCCACACUGUCAACACCGACCGGGAGGAAAGCCUCGCUGCCGGAGACCGCUCAAGGGAGCCCUCCGCGUGUUCUCCCAGCCCGGGUCGCAGGUGGAGGGGGCCUCCUGCAGGGACGGUUCUCCCGCAGACACUCAAACUCCGGGAUGUAAAACCCGUUAAUAAUUGUCAGGGGUCUGUUAAUUGCCAAAUACAGUUUUUGAAAGUUGUAUGCACUAGGUAAAAUAAUUUAUGUAAUGUUUGGAAGUAUGUGAAAGACAG